rnacentral:rRNA from 1 species
UGGGGAAUCUUCCGCAAUGGACGAAAGUCUGACGGAGCAACGCCGCGUGAGUGAAGACGGCCUUCGGGUUGUAAAGCUCUGUGAUCCGGGACGAAAGAGCCUGAGGUGAAUAGCCUAAGGAAGUGACGGUACCGGAAAAGCAAGCCACGGCUAACUACGUGCCAGCAGCCGCGGUAAUACGUAGGCGGCAAGCGUUGUCCGGAAUUAUUGGGCGUAAAGCGCGCGCAGGCGGCUUCCUAAGUCCAUCUUAAAAGUGCGGGGCUUAACCCCGUGAUGGGAUGGAAACUGGGAAGCUGGAGUAUCGGAGAGGAAAGUGGAAUUCCUAGUGUAGCGGUGAAAUGCGUAGAGAUUAGGAAGAACACCGGUGGCGAAGGCGACUUUCUGGACGAAAACUGACGCUGAGGCGCGAAAGCGUGGGGAGCAAACAGG